AGGAUGAACGCUAGCGGGAGGCUUAACACAUGCAAGUCGAGGGGCAGCAUUUCUAGCUUGCUAGAAGAUGGCGACCGGCGGACGGGUGCGUAACGCGUAUGUAACUUACCUAUAUCUGGAAGAUAACUCAAAGAAAUUUGCGCUAAUACUCCAUAGUAUGAUUCUUUCGCAUGUUAGAAUUAUUAAAGCUCCGGCGGAUAUAGAUAGGCAUGCGUCCUAUUAGUUAGUUGGUAAGGUAACGGCUUACCAAGACUACGAUAGGUAGGGGGCCUGAGAGGGUGAACCCCCACACUGGUACUGAGACACGGACCAGACUCCUACGGGAGGCAGCAGUGAGGAAUAUUGGUCAAUGGAGGCAACUCUGAACCAGCCAUCCCGCGUGAAGGAUUGAAGGCGCUCGACGUCGUAAACUUCUUUUAUAUAGGAAUAAACCUUGGUACGUGUACCAAGCUGAAGGUACUAUAUGAAUAAGCAUCGGCUAACUCCGUGCCAGCAGCCGCGGUAAUACGGAGGAUGCAAGCGUUAUCCGGAUUUAUUGGGUUUAAAGGGUCCGCAGGCGGGCCAAUAAGUCAGUGGUGAAAGCCCAUCGCUCAACGAUGGAACUGCCAUUGAAACUGUUGGUCUUGAGUCUAGUUGAAGUGGGCGGAAUAUGACAUGUAGCGGUGAAAUGCAUAGAGAUGUCAUAGAACACCGAUUGCGAAGGCAGCUCACGAAACUAUUAUUGACGCUCAGGGACGAAAGCGUGGGUAGCGAACAGGAUUAGAUACCCUGGUAGUCCACGCCGUAAACGAUGAUCACUCGAUGUCGGCGAUAAAAUGUCGGUGUCCAAGCGAAAGUGUUAAGUGAUCCACCUGGGGAGUACGUUCGCAAGAAUGAAACUCAAAGGAAUUGACGGGGGCCCGCACAAGCGGUGGAGCAUGUGGUUUAAUUCGAUGAUACGCGAGGAACCUUACCUGGGCUUAAAUGUAGAGUGCUUUUCAUGGAAACAUGAUUUUCUUCGGACGCUCUACAAGGUGCUGCAUGGCUGUCGUCAGCUCGUGCUGUGAGGUGUCGGGUUAAGUCCCAUAACGAGCGCAACCCCUAUCUUUAGUUGCUAGCAGGUCAUGCUGAGGACUCUAAAGAGACUGCCGGUGCAAACCGUGAGGAAGGUGGGGAUGACGUCAAGUCAGCACGGCCCUUACGUCCAGGGCUACACACGUGCUACAAUGGCGGGAUACAAAGGGCGCUACUUGGUGACAAGAUGCUAAUCUCGAAAGUCCGUCUCAGUUCGGAUCGAAGUCUGCAACUCGACUUCGUGAAGCUGGAAUCGCUAGUAAUCGCGUAUCAGCAAUGACGCGGUGAAUACGUUCCCGGGCCU
rnacentral:rRNA from 1 species